rnacentral:rRNA from 1 species
UAAGAAGCCCCGGCUAAYUMCGUGCCAGCAGCCGCGGGUAAUACGUAGGGGGCAAGCGUUAUCCGGAUUUACUGGGUGUAAAGGGAGCGUAGGUGGUGCGGCAAGUCAGAUGUGAAAGCCCGUGGGCUCAACUGCGGGACUGCAUUUGAAACUGUCGAGCUGGAGUGCAGGAGAGGUAAGUGGAAUUCCUAGUGUAGCGGUGAAAUGCGUAGAUAUUAGGAGGAACACCAGUGGCGAAGGCGGCUUACUGGACUGUAACUGACACUGAGGCUCGAAAGCGUGGGGAGCAAACAGGAUUAGAUACCCUGGUAGUCCACGCCGUAWCCGUUGUUUACUAGGUGUUGGGGGUCAAAAGACCUUCGGUGCCGUCGCAAACGCAAUAAGUAUCCACCKGGG